AGUUUUACGCGUUAGCCUGCUGUGCGUUUUAGAAGUGAUGAACAGAAAUAUAAUUAAUAGAAAUUAAAAAUGAUAUUUGAUUGGAAUUUUUUGAUAAAUUCAGUGCUGUUAUUGGUCCUACUCUUAAAGAAUGUUUGUGGAGUUUUAGAAAAUAACUUUGAAUCACCAAAAGUAGCAUAUGAUGGAAUCAUAUUUGAAAAACUUGGGUGUUGGUUAGACAGUUCAAAUCGAACAUUAACUAAACUUGAAGGUGCCACUGUCCUUGAUGGACAUUAUUCAAGUCGUGUUGAUCCUUUUGGUAAAUGUUACAGAGCCGCAACAGAAAGUAAAUACAAGUACUUUGCUUUGCAAAAUGGUGGUCAAUGUUUUGCAGGAAACAGUACGGUUUACCAACUGUUAGGAAAAUCAACUAAUUGCCAACUGGAUGGAGAAGGAGGGCCAUGGUCAAAUGAAGUCUAUACAGUAAAUAGUGAUAUUCUUGAAGUGAACGAUGAGCUAGAAUAUAGAACUUUUUUGUAUAUUACUUUUCAAAUAUACUAUUGGAAUCUUGGUGAACCAGCUGUUAAUAUAUCUUGGGAAUACUUUUUUCCACCUUUCAUAAUACUUCUAUUUAAUUAUACAUCAGUAGACUUUGUUUAUAGUGGUCCAAACACAUUAAAGUUUAAGGUAACAAAUUUAUCUAACAUUGAAGUUCAUCAGAGUUUUACUGCUAUUAUUAAUAAUACUAUCUGUUUUUUUUGUGAAACGUCCAUUGAUAUUCCAAUGCAGUUAUAUUUUGAAAAUAAUACAGGAAUUUUUCAAUCUAAUCAAGUAUUAAGGAAAAAUUUAAAGAAAAACUGUAAGGGUCUACAAAAUCAGUCUCUAGACACUAUUGAUUGUAUUCAAACUUGCAUUUGGAAAAGCAGUACUUGCAUAAAUGAAGUGUGCUUCAUAUGUACAUGUGAGUCUGGAUGGAGAUUGGAUAAAGAUAAUUACACCUGUGUUGAUAUUGAUGAAUGCCUAAUCCAACCCUGCAAUUGGGCUAAUAGUGUUUGCACAAACACUAAUGGAAGCUAUAAUUGCACAUGUGAUUCUGGGUGGUUAUUGGAUAAAAAUAAUCAUACCUGUGUUGAUGUUGAUGAAUGCACAGGUUCAAACCAACCCUGCAAUUGGGCUAAUAGUGUUUGCACAAACACUAAUGGAAGCUAUAUUUGCACAUGUGAUUCUGGGUGGUUAUUGGAUAAAAAUAAUCAUACCUGUGUUGAUGUUGAUGAAUGCACAGGUUUAAACCAACCCUGCAAUUGGGCUAAUAGUGUUUGCACAAACACUAAUGGAGGCUAUAUUUGCACAUGUGAUUCUGGGUGGUUAUUGGAUAAAAAUAAUCAUACCUGUGUUGAUGUUGAUGAAUGCACAAGUUCAAACAAACCCUGCCAUUGGGCUAACAGCGUUUGCACAAACACUUAUGGAAGCUAUAUUUGCACAUGUGAGUCUGGUUGGUUAUUGGAUAAAAAAAAUCAUAGCUGUGUUGAUGUUGAUGAAUGCACAGGCCCAAAAAAACCUUGCGAUUGGGCUAACAGUGUUUGCACAAACACUAAUGGAAGCUACAUUUGCACAUGUGAGUCUGGAUGGUUAUUAAAUAAAAGUAAUGAAAGCUGUGUUGAUGUAGAUGAAUGCACAGCUUUAAACAAACCCUGCAAUUGGACUGACAGCGUUUGCAUAAACAAUAUCGGGAGCUACAUUUGCACAUGUGAGUCUGGAUGGGUAUUAAAUGAUGAUAGUUGUGUUGAUGAGUGCACAUCAUUAAAUAAUCCUUGUGAUUUGAAAAAGGCUGUUAGCAUUAAUAACGACGGAAAGUAUGAAUGUAUAGAAGGAGAAUGGAACAUAUGGAGUGAAUGUAGUCAAACGUGUGGACCUGGUUUCAAAUAUAGUUACUUAAGAACACUGUCACCUUCUAAACAAAAUGUGAAACGUGUCGAUGUGUGCAUGGAGUUUAAGUGUCCAGUGGAUUGGAAAUGGAGUUCAUGGGUAGAAUACAAAUCACUUUCUAAUUUGUAUGGUAAUUGCUUUACAAGGCGAGAAAGAUUUUGCACUAACUCUUUACCUAAAGACGCAGAAGGUGGAUAUGAUUGCUUUGGCCUCAGUCUGGAUUUUCAAAUUCUUGAAAGCACAGAAUGUCCAGUUCAUGGUGGGUGGAAUCAAUGGUCUUUUUGGUCAUCUUGCAGUCAACCUUGUCAAGGUGGUAAACAAACAAGACGCCGUAGUUGCAAUAAUCCAUUACCAAAGUAUGGCGGACUACAAUGUAAUGGAAAUGACAUCGAAUAUAAAACUUGCUAUUCAGAUAGAUGCAAAGAUAUGACAGUAAACCUCAACCUAUUUUUUAAUGAUAAAGAUUAUAUAGAAGCGUAUUCUGAUCCAACUAAUGAACCAUCUGAAAUCCUAAAAUACAGUAUUAAAAAUGCGAUGCAAAAUCUUUAUAACAAGUUCAAUAAAAAUGUUCAAUUUGAAUUGAUAUUGAAUUCUUUAAAAGACGAAGAGGAAAGUCAAUAAAAAUCUUAAAAGAUUGAAUUUAACGAUAAGGUUGAUAAAAUCCUAAUUUUUCAGUGUUAAGUGUCUUUUAAAAA